GCUCAGGCUGCCUCAGUCUCACCUUCACCUACCAUGACUGAUGGCAGUGAGAGGUUGGGAAAGAGUGAAUGCAUUUCUGCUCGGCUCCAGUUUCGUCUUCCAGAUGGCAGUUCAUUAACCAACUCUUUCCCAGCGGAUACUCCUUUGGAGACCAUACGUCAGUAUAUCAUUACUCAACUAGGACUCAGCACUAGCUCAAUAACACUGUACACCACGUACCCCAGGCGAGAGCUGACUAAGGAAGACCUGGGAAAGAGUUUGACUGAG